UUGAUAUUUACAAUUUUUUGUGAUAGAUACAAUUAUUUUACUUAAACGGCAAAGAAUUAAUAUAUGGAUUACAUAUUUAUAUCUUAGUUUUUUAUUAUUUAAUUUAACGAAAACAAUAAUGUAUUCUGAAUGCGAGGGACUUGCAGCCGUUCACAUACUUUUUUUUUUUAUUACAUGAGACUAUUGCUCAAAUUGCAAUUCAUAUUACAUGAGAAUAUAACUGAUAUUUACAAAUCAGACUAUAACUGGGACCAACAUACAUCAAUAUUAAUGGAGCGCUGCCCAGAUUUUAACCCUCUCAAAUAUUCGAGGGAUGUCUACUCCUCACACUUGGGUAAGGAAGCAGACUGUCUUCACUCAAAUUUACUUGAGGAAAGAAGACCCCCACAAUGCAUUGUGGGGGUUCGAACUGCUGCUCUCCAAGUUGGAGAGCAGCAGCUCUCACCACUCGGCCAAAGGCCAAGUGGCUGCCGUUCACAUACUUUUGACAUCUUAAAGUGUUCGCGAAAAGUCAUUGUCACAUCUAUCAAAAUAUCAAAGCAAUAUAAAUUUUUCUAUUAAAAUGAAACAUGCCUAUCAUGAAUAAUCAAGAAAAAAUCGUUGUAAGCCUGUAUUUACAAAGUACAAGAUCAUAUUAAUGCUUAAAUACAAUAAUUAGGACAAUAUCUAAUAUCUAAGCCUUAGUACAAUAUUUAUAAUCAUAUAGUAAUCGAGAUUCUCCUUCAUAAUUCUAAUAUGUCACGUCUCAAAUAACGAUCCUUAUUUAAUAUUGGAGGGAAAUAUAUUUUACCUCUAAAACGGGGAGCCAAAUAAACAUAUAUUAAAAGGGGAGUUCAUUCCCAGCAAUGCUCAUGCGCCCAAGGUUAUUGGACACAUGAGUUGUCAAUAGGUUACGAGCCUUAUUUAAGGUAACUCUGAUUACUAUGAAUGAUGAAAAAUCAGCUUUACGCACUAAAAUCUAAUGAGGUAAAAGAAAAAUUUUAAGAAUUUGACUUGUAAAUAAAAAAAAAAAACCUCAAUCGAGCAUAAAAAAGAAAUUAUUGUAGUACUGAUGAUAUAGAAUUAACAAAACAUGAGACAUAAACUGACAACUACUAUGUAUAUAAAUAUAAAGGAUGGUGUUAUAUUCACUCUAAAAAUUACUCAUGAGCAUUCAUUCAUUAAUGUUAAAAAAAAAAUUAUACUUUGUACACUCUUUAAAAUGUCAAAAAUGUCCUCACUUAAUCCUUUUUAAAAUUAAUUAUCUUUAUUUACUCUACAUUAUACACACUCAAAAAAAAUCUCUAAACACUCUUUUAUUACUAAAAUUAAAAUAUUUAGUUAUAUGAUAAAUUUUGCCAAUAAGUGAAGAAUGAUAAAUAACAAAAUAGGAGCAGAAAGUAGUCUAUUAAUUGAUGGCAGAAAGUAGUCUAUUAAUUAAUAGUGUCCAAGUUGAUGGCAGAAAGUAGUCUAUUAAUUGCGGAGAUGACAAAGUUGUAUUAUUGAUAAUAUGUAAUUGUUUUUCCUCGCGAAUUGCAAUUCAAAUGGGGAGGGUUUUUCUAGUAGAGCUGAAAGGAAGGUUUUGUUACAAAUUCAGAGAGCAAACUUAAUUGUUUUUGCUAAUAGCAUCAUUCCUUGAUCUUUUAAUUGUCAUCGAGGAAGGGCAUACCUCUUCUGUGAUAUGGAUAUGUUGAUGCUCUCUAGCAUGCACACUGUGAAGGAUAUAUUUUGUUGCAUCUGUAGACAAAUUAUUGGCUAGAAAAGAGCACACAAAAAAAGGUUAUAAAAUUGAUUAAAAUUUUUAUGUUCAUCGAAAUGAACCAACCUUGAUAUUUACAAUUUUUUGUGAUAGAUACAAUUAUUUUACUUAAACGGCAAAGAAUUAAUAUAUGGAUUACAUAUUUAUAUCUUAGUUUUUUAUUAUUUAAUUUAACGAAAACAAUAAUGUAUUCUGAAUGCGAGGGACUUGCAGCCGUUCACAUACUUUUUUUUUUUAUUACAUGAGACUAUUGCUCAAAUUGCAAUUCAUAUUACAUGAGAAUAUAACUGAUAUUUACAAAUCAGACUAUAACUGGGACCAACAUACAUCAAUAUUAAUGGAGCGCUGCCCAGAUUUUAACCCUCUCAAAUAUUCGAGGGAUGUCUACUCCUCACACUUGGGUAAGGAAGCAGACUGUCUUCACUCAAAUUUACUUGAGGAAAGAAGACCCCCACAAUGCAUUGUGGGGGUUCGAACUGCUGCUCUCCAAGUUGGAGAGCAGCAGCUCUCACCACUCGGCCAAAGGCC
rnacentral:lncRNA from 1 species